UUAGGUUUUCUUCAUUUUCUUAUGGAAUUUUUCGAGGAUUCUUGUUGUUAAAGGUUGAUGGAGAUGAUAUGAAGAUGAAAAAGAGGAGAAG
rnacentral:pre_miRNA from 1 species